GACGAACCGUGCAAACGUUGUUCGGAAUCACUGGGCUUAAAGGGCUCGUAGGCGGGUUCGUAAGUCUGUGGUGAAAGCCCCCAGCUUAACUGGGGAAGUGCCAUGGAUACUGCGAGUCUUGAGGAGGGUAGGGGCAUCUGGAACACUGGGUGGAGCGGUGAAAUGCGUUGAUAUCCAGUGGAACUCCGGUGGCGAAGGCGAGGUGCUGGACCCUUUCUGACGCUGAUGCGCGAAAGCCAGGGGAGCAAACGGG
rnacentral:rRNA from 1 species